UUCCUAAUAAUAGAAGACAUGACAAACAAAUCAAGUACCAAUACAACACCCAUUCAUAUAAUGGCCUUAGAUGGCAUAGUGAACGUAAAUUCGUUGUUCACCUUAGCCCUCUUCUUAGGCAUUGUUAAUUCAGAUCCUAGUAAUCCAAGUUACACUCUUGUUAACACAAAAAACGCGUCAUCUUCAUGCUUAGCACCCUCUUAUAUCGCGGAGGACCUCAUUGUCUACCAUGUAUACUCCUUUUGUGCGUUUUUGUUAUCUAGUCUUAUAGCAUCAGCCCUUAAACUAGCCAUCAAGACGAGUGGUGGCAAUGUGGGUGAUCGAGCAAUGAGUCCGGCUAAUACCAUGGUUGUUCAUGUCAAUAGUCUAGCACUAAGGGGUGGGAUAUUGGUUUGUGCUUGUGGUUCAGUGUUUGGUUGUGUAUUUUUGAUGUUGGCUUUAGUCAAUUUGGUACAAAUUAAGUUGGGUGUAUUGGCUUGUCACGAAUUUUAUACAUUGGUUGCUUGUGUACCUCUUCUUGUCUUAGUCCCUUUGGCUCUUGUUCUUUAUAUUGGUAUUGUGUUGCAUGCUUCUACAUCUUGAACCUUAGCAUGAGAGCCAGGAUUUCCAAGUGUAAACGAGAUUCGAUAUCAGAUCACAGGAACCACUUCCACAAGACUUUACCAAUACUCGUACUAGAAGUCGUAUACAUUAAUUGCUUUGCUUCCAAAACAAGUGCAAAAUUAAGUUUCAAGUCAUUUUCAUCCUCCCCAUUUUUGGUUGCAUGGAGCACUAAUUUGGAAUCUUGGAGGGGAAUGUUAAGUCUUUUGCUUGUUGGAACUUUCUGGAGACAUUGUGAAUGAUAUAACGUACUCAUUAUCUGUUGAAGCUAAUAAUUGAGAAUAAAGCUAAGGACAUAUCACAUAUGUAGUAGAAUAUGCUUCAAUGUUAUUGGUCCCUUGGGUGUGACUUGUGAGAUAGAUUUCUUGGAGCUGAUUUUACAUGCUAUGGCUAUUUUUGGAUCUAACCACAAUUCAGAGGCUGCUUCUUGAUCGGGCCGGGCCAAUUUUUUGUGCCAAAAGUCCGCUAUUUCGGGCCAAAAUUGGACCGGGCAACAAAAAUAGACUUAAAAGUCAUUUUCAGCUUGCCAAAACCCCAGUCCAAAGCAAAAAAAUCGGAUCAAGCCGGGCUGAGCCCGACCGCGGGCCAAAAAAAUCUGUCCAGACUCAUCCCAAAAAUCGGGCCGGGCGGAGUUGAUCAGCUCUACCACAAAUGGUAGUUUAGGAUCUUUUUACAGAAUUACAUAAUCUUGUUAACGACUCAUUUGAUGAUAUAAGUGACAAACCAACACUUCUGAUCAAUUCAUUCUAUGUUGAUGAGAGAUUGGAUUCGAUUUCUUAUUCAUGCAUUAAAUCCAAAUAAUACGGGUUUUAAUUAUAUAUUUAUAUCUAGAUGACAAUUAAUCAAUCGUUUUUAGUCCAAUCACGUCAAUUUCAGUUUAGAACAUAAUCGAGUUGCUAAGUACGAUUUAGGAUUUAUUUCGGGCCUCUUAAUUUUGUGAGAGUUAUUUGUAGAGAAAAAGAGAUCACAUGAAUACGUAGAUUAUGUUAGAUAGUACAAAUUACAUAUAUAUAAAACAUGUUACCACUCACUAAAUAUACAAGUGCCCUUUUCCUUAAGAAAAAGAGGUUCAUAACUAUGUUGUAAAUCUCAAUAGAUACAUUAAAACAAGCAUCAUUUCCCAACAUCGUAAUUUUUCCAUUAAGACCAUAGAUUAAAUCCUAGACAAAUAUACUAAUGCAGAAAACUUUGCGGUUCAGAAGUUCUUCGAACCCGUAAAAUCAAUCCCCUUGCAAAGUUUUUUGUUAUCCAUGGAUUGCAAAUUUGCUUAUUCUCCAUUUAUAAUAUAUGCUGAAAGACCAGAACCUUGCUAUAGUAUAUGAUAAUAACUUUAUAAUUAAGCAGUUUUCCUGCAAAAGAGAGAUAAUAUUGAACUUCAUUAGAAACACCUUCAACUUCUAAUUCGUUUUUAGCAUAUUAUGGUUAUAAACCUAGCAGAGACUAGCACUAAUUCAAUAUUAUAGACAGGGGCAAAGCUAUGUUGGGACCUAAGAGGACCAUGAACCUUGCAGCCCGAACAUAGCUUUGAAGAAAAUCAAUGAUAAUCAAUGGUUAUAUCUUGUUUUAUAGGUAAACUAGUCUUACAUGCACGCAAUGCGUGCGAUAACGAGUGAUAACAAAUGAAGUAAAAAAUAAAAUUAAUUAGGUAGAAUAACUAUCUUUACAUUUUAUUUUCUCAAAAAACUGAUGUUUUCAAUUUAAAUGUCUUCUGUCAAAAAAAAAAAUUAAAUGUCUUACUUUCCCUCCCUUUUUUUUAUUCAAAUGAAACAGUUAGUUAUCCUUUAUAUUAUUUUUCCUUUUUCUAUUUUUUUGUGUCCCUCAUGUGUUGUCUUAUAUAAUAGAGAUUGACCUCCCUCAACAAUCAUGUUUAGAAUUCUCUGUCAAUUGACCCCCUCGACAACCAAGCCUGACUUCGCCCCUGAUUAUAGAUGUUUAUAUCAUAAGGUCAAGAAAGCAUAAUUUAUACACGUUUUUCAUACCUCAUGAGCCAUAAUAUUCACACGGUGUUAGACGGCCAGCGCAUAGAUCCUAAUAAUAAAGUGAUCCUGUAAAGAAAAAUGCAAUGUUAUAAAACUCUUAAAGGUUUAAUUUUUCUGAAGUUCCAAAUAUGUAAAUAAAGAUUUGGUCAGUUAACAUGCAUUAAUAGAAGACAUACCUUGCCACCAGUUUCCCCUUGAAGCACCACUUGGAUCAUCUUCUCCACCAUCUUUCUUGAACUAAUACAUUAAUAAGCAAACCAAAAA